GACGAGGGAUCCUAGCGUUGUUCGGAAUCAUUGGGCGUAAAGCGGGUGUAGGCGGCUUGGUAGGUCUCGCGUCAAAACCUGAGGCUCAACCUCAGUUCGCGUGGGAAACCACCUAGCUAGAGUCCGGAAGAGGAGAACGGAAUUCCCAGUGUAGCGGUGAAAUGCGCAGAUAUUGGGAAGAACACCAGUGGCGAAGGCGGUUCUCUGGGACGGUACUGACGCUGAGACGCGAAAAGCGUGGGGAGCGAACAGG
rnacentral:rRNA from 1 species